rnacentral:rRNA from 1 species
GGUUUGAUUAUGGCUCAGAUUGAACGCUGGCGGGAUGCUUACACAUGCAAGUCGAACGGCAGCACGGACUUCGGUCAGGAGUGGCGAACGGGUGAGUAAUGGAACGUGUCGUGGGGGACGCGAAAGCGCCACUGCAUACGCCCUUUCGGGGGAAAGCGGGGACCUUUCGGGCCUCGCAGGUAUUAGAGCGGCCGAUAUCGGAUUAGCUAGUUGGUGGGGUAACGGCUCACCUGCCAUUAAGGCGACGAUCCGUAGCUGGUUUGAGAGGACGACCAGCCACCCGGGACUGGAGACACGGCCCAGACUCCUACGGGAGGCAGCAGUGGGAAUUUUGGACAAUGGGGGAAACCUCCUGAUCCAGCCAUCCCGCGCGUGUGCGAUGAAGGCCUUCGGGUUGUAAAGCACUUUUUGGCAGGAGAAGAAACGGCACGGAUAAUACCCCGUGCAACUGACGGUACCUGCAGAAUAAGCACCGGCUAACUACGCCAGCAGCCGCGGUAAUACGUAGGGUGCAAGCGUUAAUCGGAAUUACUGGGCGUGAAGCGUGCGCAGGCGGUUCGGAAAGAUGUGAAAUCCCAGAGCUUAACUUUGGAACUGCAUUUUAACUACCGAGCUAUGUGUCAGAGGGAGGUGGAAUUCCGCGUGUAGCAGUGAAAUGCGUAGAUAUGCGGAGGAACACCGAUGGCGAAGGCAGCCUCCUGGGAUAACACUGACGCUCAUGCACGAAAGCGUGGGGAGCAAACAGGAUUAGAUAGUCCACGCCCUAAACGAUGUCAACUAGCUGUUGGGGCCUUCGGCCUUGGUAGCGCAGAACGCGAAGUUGACCGCCUGGGGAGUACGGUCGCAAGAUUAAAACUCAAAGGAAUUGACGGGGACCCGCACAAGCGGUGGAUGAUGUGGAUUAAUUCGAUGCAACGCGAAAACCUUACCUACCCUUGACAUGCUGGAAUCCCGAAGAGAUUUGGGAGUCAAGAGAACCGGAACACAGGUGCUGCAUGGCUGUCGUCAGCUCGGUGUCGUGAGAUGUUGGGUUAAGUCCCGCAACGAGCGCAACCCUUGUCAUUAGUUGCUACGAAAGGGCACUCCACGAGACUGCCGGUGACAAACCGGAGGAAGGUGGGGAUGACGUCAAGUCCUCAUGGCCCUUAUGGGUAGGGCUUCACACGUCAUACAAUGGUCGGGACAGAGGGUCGCCAACCCGCGAGGGGGAGCCAAUCCAGAAACCCGAUCGUAGUCCGCAGUCUGCAACUCGACUGCGAAGUCGGACCGCUAGUAAUCGCGGAUCAGCAUGUCGCGGUGAAUACGUUCCCGGGUCUUGUACCACACACCGCCCGUCACACCAUGGGGAGUGGGUUUUACCAGAAGUAGUUAGCCUAACCGUAAGGAGGGCGAUUACCACGGUAGGAUUCAUGACUGGGGUGAAGUCGUAACAAGGUAG